UUGAACGCUGGCGGCAGGCCUAACACAUGCCAGUCGAACGGUAACAGGAAGCAGCUUGCUGCUUCGCUGACGAGUGGCGGACGGGUGAGUAAUGUCUGGGAAACUGCCUGAUGGAGGGGGAUAACUACUGGAAACGGUAGCUAAUACCGCAUAACGUCGCAAGACCAAAGAGGGGGACCUUAGGGCCUCUUGCCAUCGGAUGUGCCCAGAUGGGAUUAGCUAGUAGGUGGGGUAACGGCUCACCUAGGCGACGAUCCCUAGCUGGUCUGAGAGGAUGACCAGCCACACUGGAACUGAGACACGGUCCAGACUCCUACGGGAGGCAGCAGUGGGGAAUAUUGCACAAUGGGCGCAAGCCUGAUGCAGCCAUGCCGCGUGUAUGAAGAAGGCCUUCGGAUUGUAAAGUACUUUCAGCGGGGAGGAAGGGAGUAAAGUUAAUACCUUUGCUCAUUGACGUUACCCGCAGAAGAAGCACCGGCUAACUCCGUG
rnacentral:rRNA from 1 species